ACAAAAUGGAUCUCUUUGGAACGAGACCAAAAUAUGAACACAAUUUUCCAGAUUUGGAAGGUGAGGUCCCUCUUCCGAGUGUGGAUGGACAAAUAUAAUAUAGGGAUUCUAUAAGCUUUUAGUGUCGAUCUUCUCUAAGUUUCUGCGUGAUUUGUCAAUGGUGUGAGAGCUCUUUCUUUCAUCUCUUUAGUAAAUCUUCGAUUGUCCUUUCUACUAUGAAUCUCUUCUGCAAAAUUAUGGUUAAGAUUAAUAGAUAUGGCAUAAAAGAAUUGAUCGGAGUUGUUUUCAGAUCUAGCAUCGUUCUGUCAAAAAUCCAAUGUUCUGUGAAAUGUGUUUCGUAGAUGACGGAUAAGUUGAUUAUGGGAAGAAAUUUUAUCUGCUAGUGUAUUGAUGGCAAAUAUCAGUGAUUAUAGUGAGUUACUUAAGGAACUAUCCACAAUCGAAUAACACGAACUUUCAAGUUCCAGUGCAUUGAUUUGGAUGUAAUUUCUGAGAUUGUGUGAAAUUGCAAAGCCAUGUAUAUUAUUGAAUAUCUCCGAACAAUCGCCGAACAUUGUAAAGGUAUGUAAAGUUAUUUCUGAAAGAUGUCUAUAUAUAGUACGGAAAUUUCAAGAUGCAAUGAAUAAUUGUAGUUUAAGUUUCCUUGUUUAUUGGAUGGUUAUUGAGAAGUUAUAAAAAUGCUUGUAUUUAUCUGU